rnacentral:rRNA from 1 species
UACGAAGGGGGCUAGCGUUGCUCGGAAUCACUGGGCGUAAAGGGUGCGUAGGCGGGUCUUUUAAGUCAGGGGUGAAAUCCUGGAGCUCAACUCCAGAACUGCCUUUGAUACUGAGGAUCUUGAGUUCGGGAGAGGUGAGUGGAACUGCGAGUGUAGAGGUGAAAUUCGUAGAUAUUCGCAGGACACCAGUGGCGAAGGCGGCUCACUGGUCCGAUACUGACGCUGAGGUGCGAAAGCGUGGGGAGCAACAGGG